rnacentral:rRNA from 1 species
AACGAACGCUGGCGGCAUGCCUAACACAUGCAAGUCGAACGAGAUCUUCGGGUCUAGUGGCGCACGGGUGCGUAACGCGUGGGAAUCUGCCCUUUGGUUCGGAAUAACAGUUGGAAACGACUGCUAAUACCGGAUGAUGACGAAAGUCCAAAGAUUUAUCGCCAGAGGAUGAGCCCGCGUAGGAUUAGCUAGUUGGUGUGGUAAAGGCGCACCAAGGCGACGAUCCUUAGCCGGUCUGAGAGGAUGAUCAGCCACACUAGGACUGAGAUACGGCCCAGACUCCUACGGGAGGCAGCAGUGGGGAAUAUUGGGCAAUGGGCGAAAGCCUGAUCCAGCAAUGCCGCGUGAGUGAUGAAGGCCUUAGGGUUGUAAAGCUCUUUUACCCGGGAUGAUAAUGACAGUACCGGGAGAAUAAGCUCCGGCUAACUCCGUGCCAGCCGCCGCCGUAA